CCUCCUGUGGUCCCUUCCAACCCUGAUAUUCUAUGAUUCUAAGUGACGCCAUAAUUGGUUCCUGUGGCUUGUUGCCCUAUGCUGCUGCAAAAAAGUUCCUAGUUUGCAAUAAAAACAUGAUAUAAAUUAUGGAUUAAAAAAAUGAAUAAUAAAACAUGCAUCCCUAAUGGAAGUACAGGCUGGCUCAAGCAAAGUUAAUUGGAUAAAAUGGCUAAUUUGUGAGUGAUGCAUGUGAUCACGCGGAUUAGAUGAACUGCCAUUGCCACUCAAAGAGGCAGAGGUCUAGAUCUACAAAAGUACUUAGGUGCCUAAGUUUCAGGUUUAGACACUAAGUCCCAGUUUUGGCUCCACUGUGAUCAACAAAACUCUCACUUGAACCAAAGUGAUUGGAGCAGGGUCUCCCAUUUCCCAGGUGGUAACCUAACCGUUGGAUACAGAGUCAUAUUCUUUCUUUCUUUCUUUCAUUGGCCCAAUGUCAGAUCCACUGUGGAUAAAUACUUAAAUAGUCACUGACACAGAAUGACUAAUCCAGUCCACCUGCUCCAACUACUCAUUAUUUAUUCACCAUGGAAUGGCUUCAACAGGAAAGACUGAGGGAGCCCCACCUCAGAAAGUCCCAUAUAUCAGUGGUUAGAGCACUAUCUUGAGAGGAUUUCAUCAGCAGUCUCCCCUCUGUCAGAGAUGCGGAAUUGAACCUAUGUGUUCCAUAUCCCAGUUGCUAAAAGUUAGAUGCAGUGACAUGAUACUCAGCAUUGCAGCAUCUACAUCCCUGUGUGGAGCUGUGCCAGAGAAUCCAACCAUCCCUUUCUCAACAAGGCACAUUAUCUUGCCUGAAAAGAACAGUGUGCCAUAAAGAUUUCCUGCUGAGAAACUUUGCAGUGCAGUGUGUUGACCACUCUGAUUUUCCAGAUAUAAUAAUUACACCAUCCCUGAGAUACAGA